GUUAAGCGACUAAGCGUACACGGUGGAUGCCCUGGCAGUCAGAGGCGAUGAAGGACGUGCUAAUCUGCGAUAAGCGUCGGUGAGGUGAUAUGAACCGUUAUAACCGGCGAUUUCCGAAUGGGGAAACCCAGUGUGUUUCGACACACUAUCAUUAACUGAAUCCAUAGGUUAAUGAGGCGAACCGGGGGAACUGAAACAUCUAAGUACCCCGAGGAAAAGAAAUCAACCGAGAUUCCCCCAGUAGCGGCGAGCGAACGGGGAGGAGCCCAGAGCCUGAAUCAGUGUGUGUGUUAGUGGAAGCGUCUGGAAAGGCGCGCGAUACAGGGUGACAGCCCCGUACACAAAAAUGCACAUGCUGUGAGCUCGAUGAGUAGGGCGGGACACGUGGUAUCCUGUCUGAAUAUGGGGGGACCAUCCUCCAAGGCUAAAUACUCCUGACUGACCGAUAGUGAACCAGUACCGUGAGGGAAAGGCGAAAAGAACCCCGGCGAGGGGAGUGAAAAAGAACCUGAAACCGUGUACGUACAAGCAGUGGGAGCCUCUUAAUGGGGUGACUGCGUACCUUUUGUAUAAUGGGUCAGCGACUUAUAUUCUGUAGCAAGGUUAACCGAAUAGGGGAGCCGAAGGGAAACCGAGUCUUAACUGGGCGUUAAGUUGCAGGGUAUAGACCCGAAACCCGGUGAUCUAGCCAUGGGCAGGUUGAAGGUUGGGUAACACUAACUGGAGGACCGAACCGACUAAUGUUGAAAAAUUAGCGGAUGACUUGUGGCUGGGGGUGAAAGGCCAAUCAAACCGGGAGAUAGCUGGUUCUCCCCGAAAGCUAUUUAGGUAGCGCCUCGUGAAUUCAUCUCCGGGGGUAGAGCACUGUUUCGGCAAGGGGGUCAUCCCGACUUACCAACCCGAUGCAAACUGCGAAUACCGGAGAAUGUUAUCACGGGAGACACACGGCGGGUGCUAACGUCCGUCGUGAAGAGGGAAACAACCCAGACCGCCAGCUAAGGUCCCAAAGUCAUGGUUAAGUGGGAAACGAUGUGGGAAGGCCCAGACAGCCAGGAUGUUGGCUUAGAAGCAGCCAUCAUUUAAAGAAAGCGUAAUAGCUCACUGGUCGAGUCGGCCUGCGCGGAAGAUGUAACGGGGCUAAACCAUGCACCGAAGCUGCGGCAGCGACACUAUGUGUUGUUGGGUAGGGGAGCGUUCUGUAAGCCUGUGAAGGUGGCCUGUGAGGGUUGCUGGAGGUAUCAGAAGUGCGAAUGCUGACAUAAGUAACGAUAAAGCGGGUGAAAAGCCCGCUCGCCGGAAGACCAAGGGUUCCUGUCCAACGUUAAUCGGGGCAGGGUGAGUCGACCCCUAAGGCGAGGCCGAAAGGCGUAGUCGAUGGGAAACAGGUUAAUAUUCCUGUACUUGGUGUUACUGCGAAGGGGGGACGGAGAAGGCUAUGUUGGCCGGGCGACGGUUGUCCCGGUUUAAGCGUGUAGGCUGGUUUUCCAGGCAAAUCCGGAAAACCAAGGCUGA
rnacentral:rRNA from 1 species